UGCUGCAUGGUUGUCGUCAGCUCGUGCCGUCGAGGGUGUCGGGUUAAGUCCCAUAACGAGCGCAACCCCUACCUGCUAGUUGCCAGCGGGUCAUGCCGGGGACUCUAGCGGAACUGCCAGCGUAAGCUGCGAGGAAGGUGGGGAUGACGUCAAAUCAGCACGGCCCUUACGUCCAGGGCUACACACGUGUUACAAUGGCCAGUACAGAGGGCAGCCACCCCGCGAGGGGGCGCUAAUCCUAAAAGCUGGUCCCAGUUCGGAUCGGAGUCUGCAACCCGACUCCGUGAAGCUGGAUUCGCUAGUAAUCGCGCAUCAGCCACGGCGCGGUGAAUACGUUCCCGGGCCUU
rnacentral:rRNA from 1 species